AUUCUGGUUGAUCCUGGCGGACCCCACUGCUAUCGAGGUGGGACUAAGCCAGGCCAGUCGAACGACUCGGACUAUGGCGAGAAGUGGCAAACUGCUCAGUAACACGUAGCUAACCUACCCUCGGGACAGGGAAAACCCCGGGAAACUGGGGUUAAUACCCGAUAGGCGUGGAUUCCUGGAAUGGUGUCACGCCGAAAAGUCAACACACCAUGUUUGUGUGCACGCCCGAGGAUGGGGCUGCGGCCGAUCAGGCAGUUGGUGAGGUAACGGCUCACCAAACCUUUGACCGGUACGGGCCGUGAGAGCGGUAGCCCGGAGAUGGACACUGAGACAAGGGUCCAGGACCUACGGGUCGCAGCCGGUACGAAACCUCCACAAUGCACGAAAGUGCGAUGGGGUUACCUCGAGUGCCGCUGAAGAAGUGGCUUUUCCAUUGUGUAAUGAGCCGUGGGAAUAAGGGGGGGGCAAGACUGGUGUCAGCCGCCGCGGUAACACCAGCCCCCCGAGUGGUGGGGAUGUUUAUUUGGCCUAAAGCGUCCGUAGCCGGCUCGGUAAAUCUCUCGUUAAAUCCAGCGUCCUAAGCGUUGGGCUGCGAGAGAGACUGCCGAGCUAGAGGGUGGGAGAGGUCAGCGGUAUUUCUGGGGUAGGGGCGAAAUCCAUUGAUCCCAGGAGGACCACCAGUGGCGAAGGCUGCUGACUAGAACACGCCUGACGGUGAGGGACGAAAGCUGGGGUAGCGAAUCGGAUUAGAUACCCGAGUAGUCCCAGCCGUAAACGAUGCAGGCUAGGUGUUGGGUUGGCCACGCGCCGACUCAGUGCCACAGGGAAGCCAUUAAGCCUGCCGCCUGGGGAGUACGGCCGCAAGGCUGAAACUCAAAGGAAUUGACGGGGAAU
rnacentral:rRNA from 1 species